rnacentral:sRNA from 1 species
UCUGCCCCCCAGAACCCUAUAAAAACCCAUCCCUGGUCUUGCUGGGCGCGCCAGUCCUUCCGAGCUGACUGAGACGCCCGCAGGUACCUGUAUAUCCAGAUAAUAAACCCUCUUGCUGAUUGCAAAAAAAAAAAAAAAAUAGAGGGCUGAUGAUAUAUCUCAGUGGUAGGUCACUUGUGCAUAUAUGAAACCCUAAAUGGAAACAAAAAGUACAAAGGGAAAGAGAACUCUUAGAGGACAGUGUUGUGAGAAGGCAUUAUAUAAGAAGAUUGAUGAUAUAAGAAGGGGCAUGGGAGGAUUUUAGGCCACUUCAUAAAUGUGGAUGCUACCCUUGUCCUCUCUCCUUCAUUCACUCUGGAUCUGACAAGGGCCCACAGAAGAUUAUAUUAACUGUAUAGGGAUCCAGAGAAAAGAUCAUCCUACCUGUGCCCUGGACUCAGCCCAGAAAAUCCUGGUGGAAAUUGUAAAUGAACUGUCCUUUGAAGAGUUUUGACUGUAUCUUCACUUACUCGGUACAUUCUGGCCACCUUCUCUAUAACCAGAUUCCAUUUCUGGGGAACAGGGAACAUAGAA